rnacentral:ncRNA from 4 species
UGACUCUCUUAAGGUAGCCAAAU